UUCUCCGCACCCAGGAGGUCCCACACCAACUCAAACCCCCUCGAAAACCCUUCCCCAUCUCCGCCGCCGCUGCCUCCUCCUCCUCUUCCUCGCCGCCGAAACCCUAACCCUAGCAGCCGCGGCCCUCCCCCGGCGCCGUGCACCCCGGUUGCCGCCGCCAUGUCGAACCCUAGAGGAUCCAAGAUGCUCCAGUUCAUCAACUACCGCAUGCGCGUGACGAUCCAGGACGGCCGCCAGCUCGUGGGCAAGUUCAUGGCCUUCGACCGCCACAUGAAUCUCGUCCUCGGCGACUGCGAGGAGUUCCGCCGCCUCCCGCCCUCCAAGUCCUCCAAGACCACUGGCGACCGCGAGGAGCGCCGCACGCUCGGCCUCCUCCUCCUCCGCGGCGAGGAGGUCGUCUCCAUGACCGUCGAGGGCCCGCCGCCGCCCGACGAGUCCCGCGCCAAGGCCGCCGCGGCCGGGGGCGCGCUCGCGGGCCCGGGUGUUGGGCGCGCUGCCGGACGUGGGAUGCCCACCGGCCCGCUGCUCCAUGCCGCUCCGGGCCUCGCGGGACCGGUCAGGGGCGUCGGCGGGCCUGCCCCCGGCAUGAUGCAGCCCCAGAUCUCGCGGCCGCCGAUGCCGAACCUCUCAGCGCCGCCGGUGGCCUACCCGCAGGUCGUGCGCCCGCCGCCGGGGCAGAUGGUCCCGCCCAUGCGGCCUGGAAUGCCACCGCAGAUGCCAAUGCAGUUCCAACGCCCGCCUGCUCCGUUCCCUGGGGGACCGCCGCAGCAGUUCAUGAGGGGACCACCGCCGAUGGGGCCGCCACAGGUAAGGCCUGGGAUGCCGGGGCCACCACCGCCCGGGAUGAGGCCAGGGAUGCCUCCACCGCCUUUCGGACAACACAGGCCUGGGAUGCCGCCCCCGCCGCCUGGGCCGCAGCAGCCUGGACAGAACCCGCCGCAGUAGCUUCUUGCCUGAUCUGUCAAUUUGCUUGCCGUUCUCAUACCAGUAUACUUCUGAAUCCCCUUUGUUUUAUACCUUCUGGUUUGAAGUGUGAUAUAAGUGCAGUAGCAAGGUUAAGCUUCUUUGUGCCAUACCUAUGGAAGAUUUUCGUAAUGCGAGAAAGGAUCAUAAUCACACCUUAUGGAAAAUCCGCUGAUUCCACCGUUGCUUCACCAUUCCGUCUGUGUCCAGGUACUUAGUAUUGUGAGAAGAGAACCUUGUCAGUGUAGCACUCUUUGAUGGGAGGGGACUUUGUUCUGAUGCAAUGUACGUAAAGAGGCCAGAGCUUGUGUUAACUGUUAAGUUAGGGAUAUGGACAGCUUAUUUCAUCUUUGUCUGAAAUCUGAACCUUGUCAUCUUGUGAUUUUGGUGACCCUAUCCAGCAUAAUUGACUUGAGCUCUUCAGUUUGA